ACGCUCGACACCUACGGGGAGGCAGCAGGUGGGGAAUAUUGCACAAGUGGGGGAAACCCUGAUGCAGCGACGCCGCGUGGAGGAAGAAGGUCUUCGGAUUGUAAACUCCUGUUGUUAGGGGAAAAAGAGGAUGGUACCCAACAAGGAAGUGACGGCUAACUACGUGCCUGCAGCCGCGGUAAUCUGAGCGGCUGGCAAGGC
rnacentral:rRNA from 1 species